rnacentral:lncRNA from 1 species
CAUAUUAUGGUAAAGUAAUGAAAUAGGUAUUAUAUAUUUUCUUUAAAAUUCUUUGUUUAAUAUUGUACCAAUUUUCCCGGUAUUCCCAUGUUUCUUCCCGGUUUUUCCCAUUUAUUGGGAAAACUUUUGGGAAAAUCGAAAAAUAACCCCUUUGAAGUACCUUUCCAGUCAGAUUUUCUUACAGAAAAAAAGCUAUCAUUGUAAAUCGGAGCAAAAUCGAGUGGUAGAAAAGUUGUCAACAGAAAAUAAAAAUCGAAAUAUUUUUCUAAUACAUUUCGUAAUAUUUUCCCGUUCGAAAAAUCGAAAAAUGACUUCCCUAAAGUACCACCUCAAGAAUAUAUCCUUUCAAAAAAAAAGGUCUAUGUCAUAUAUGAAAAUUGAAAGUGGCAGUGCUGACAAAAACGAACGAAUAAAAUAACGAAUCCCGAGUUUUUAAAAACGUGUGACGAAAAUUAUGUUUAAUUACAUUACUUUUUAUUUUUACCACAAUUAUUGUAAAUUCAUCAAUGUAUUUUUUUUUCCUAUACAGUUUCCAAGUUUAUCGUGUACAGUAUAUAGUAUGUUUUUUAGUCAUUAAACAAUUUUACAAUCGUUAUAUUUUCACCAUUUUCACAUAUUAAAACUUGUAAUAUUAUACGCUACAUGUUUAUGCAUGUUUCGUACAUUUGUAUUUUUUUUUUUCAGUAAUCUCAAAACCAAGCUGUACCUGGCGUCUUCUUAAAACUUGAUGAGCUUUGAAAAGGUGUUUUUGAAUACACAAGAACUACUGGUAUCCAUAUUACUUUUUCGCAUGGAAAAUUUGUUUUAAAAAGGGCUCGCGAAUUGUUUUAUUUCGUUACAAAAUCGACUUAUAAACCCGAAAUGAUAAAAUAUGGACUCGAACCAUCGCAAACAUCGCCUCCAAAUUGCUAUUCAUUUUUUGCUGACGGUCACGAAACACGGUCGUUUCAUUGUAAUUAGGACAAGGAAUUUAUAGAAUUUGCAUUUUAUUUUUUCAAGUACUCUAACACAAAGAUUAUCAAAAAUAAAAUAUUUGAUGUAAAAUUUGUUUGCAUUUUCUCACGAUUUCCAUGGUUUAAAAUCAUUUGUUCGUAUAAAAUCGACAUCAACGAUAUUAUUUAAUGCAUUUAAUAUAGACAUUAGAUUCGGAGUGUAUCGAAGAAUGUAUUGGUUUUACAAUGAUGUUUAAUUAAAUUUUUUUUUUUCUAUAUGAACAAUUUUUCUAUCAGAAAUUUUACUCAAAUGUAGCAUUUUAUCCUUUUAUGUAAGGAAAUUCGAUCGGAGCGGUACUUUAAAUAGGUUUGGCAUUUUUUGAUUUUCCCAAGGUAUUUCAAAAUAAUCGAGAAAAAACGUAAGUAAAAUGUAAAAUACACAAAAUGUAUUAUUUUAAUAUCAUAAAUAUUACGGCCUUUCAAAACAUGUGUAGCCAAACUCCACUCAGAAUCUUUUUUCGUUGGCAAUGGGUUAUCGUUGCGUAUAGACAUAAAUUAAAUUUUCCUCUAUAUCCUACGUUCCCAACUAUUCACCUACAACAGUGGCUCAACAAUCGUGCGAAGUAUGUCCGCGUCUUUUAGUACACCGUUUUCCUAGUCCUAGUUAUACUCGUAAUAUGUACGAAUAAUUUUUUCGGGUAAAAAUUGUAUGACCAUGCAGUGUACCUAACGAAUACCGUGGAAUAAUAUACACAUGCAAUGCCAUCACGUUUAUGAUAUAAUAUUAUUUUGACCCCUAGCGCACCGUAGCCUACACAAAUAUAUACGGUAUACCCAUAUGUUCGUCAUUCUUAAGUAAUAAAUAACCUAACCAUGUAGAUAUGUGAAAUCGACCAAUACGUCCAUAUGUACAGAAUGAUAGUCCAAAUUUGAAGUUAGUUUUGACAGUUGGGGAUAUGGGGUACAAGUCAUAAUGUGCUUUGUCUGCUUUUACUCUCAAAACUAUUACUCAACAUUUGGAAGACCCUGUAUAAUAUUAUGGUGACGUAAUAUUAUGAUGUAUUUGUACACACAGUAGGGGACUUACUCCUUCGAAGGUUUUCGGACAACGUGACUGCCGGAUCAAUAAAAUUCACAUUAUACACGUAUAGAUCAUAUAGAAAUAUAUUUUAAGUUUUCUGUUUUUUACCUUCACCCGUC